UACCUAGAGUUGUAGGCUUUGCCUGCUAUCUCUUACCCAUGUCUUUUGAGUACUUACGUUUCCUCGGCGGGUCCGCCCGCCGACUGGACAAUUUAAACCCUUUGCAGUUGCAAUCAGCGUCUGAAAAAACUUAAUAGUUACAACUUUCAACAACGGAUCUCUUGGUUCUGGCAUCGAUGAAGAACGCAGCGAAAUGCGAUAAGUAGUGUGAAUUGCAGAAUUCAGUGAAUCAUCGAAUCUUUGAACGCACAUUGCGCCCCUUGGUAUUCCAUGGGGCAUGCCUGUUCGAGCGUCAUUUGUACCUUCAAGCUCUGCUUGGUGUUGGGUGUUUGUCUCGCCUCUGCGUGUAGACUCGCCUCAAAACAAUUGGCAGCCGGCGUAUUGAUUUCGGAGCGCAGUACAUCUCGCGCUUUGCACUCAUAACGACGACGUCCAAAAGUACAUUUUUACACUCUUGACCUCGGAUCAGGUAGGGAUACCCGCUGAACUUAAGCAUAUCAAUAAGCGGAGGAAAAGAAACCAACAGGGAUUGCCCUAGUAACGGCGAGUGAAGCGGCAACAGCUCAAAUUUGAAAAGCGGUCCAAGUUCCUUGGAACAGGACGUCACAGAGGGUGAGAAUCCCGUACGUGGUCGCUAGCCUUUACCGUGUAAAGCCCCUUCGACGAGUCGAGUUGUUUGGGAAUGCAGCUCUAAAUGGGAGGUAAAUUUCUUCUAAAGCUAAAUACUGGCCAGAGACCGAUAGCGCACAAGUAGAGUGAUCGAAAGAUGAAAAGCACUUUGGAAAGAGAGUUAAAAAGCACGUGAAAUUGUUGAAAGGGAAGCGCUUGCAGCCAGACUUGCCUGUAGUUGCUCAUCCGGGUUUCUACCCGGUGCACUCUUCUAUAGGCAGGCCAGCAUCAGUUUGGGCGGUUGGAUAAAGGUCUCUGUCAUGUACCUCUCUUCGGGGAGAACUUAUAGGGGAGACGACAUGCAACCAGCCCGGACUGAGGUCCGC
rnacentral:rRNA from 1 species